ensembl:lncRNA
AUAAGGAAAUCGGGAUCCAAAAGUCAGGUGUCCUUGGGUCUCAGAAGACCUUUUACAUACUUCUCAUGUAUGCAGAAGUGUUGAGAUUUGAAUCCAAGCUGCUUUUCCAAGGGUUUGUCACUGAAGAAGGAGCUGAGAGAGGAUGUGCCUGAAGGUGGAAAAGCCAAUACUGUUUUGGAUAAGUUACCUCAAAAAAUGGAAUCAUAGCCCUUUAGACCUGGAAAAGACUCUGGGAAUCCUCUGGUCCAAACUCCUUCACAGAUGAGGUUGGCGAAACUUGACAGCAGGUCUGUGUUCCAUGAAUACAGGAAGAAUUAAGAGUAAGGAAGAAAGAAAUGCAGAAACAUCACCUGAAUACUUGCCUACCCCCUGGAAAAGUUCAAGGCUCUUGCUCAUUUUAUGAAUUUUCCCCAAGCCACUGGUUCUCAUACAUCUUCAGACAUCUGAUCAAGGAAGCAUCAGAGGAAAAUAAAAAGUUGGGUAUCUGCGUAGAAGUCAGUGUCCCGGCUCAGAUGUCGGUGGAGAAUGUGAUUUUUUCUCUGGUGCUGGGCGAUCAGAAUGGGAGCCUUCUGUGUAGGAAGCCGCCUAGCUGAAAGAGCUAUUGCACCCUGGCCUAUUUCCCAUUCCUCGGUAGAGAGGGGCAGACCUGUUUUCCCCAUUCUAGCACUUAUUCUUAGAGCCCCCUAAAUACCCAGGAGAGCCUUGUUUUUAAUCAAAGGUUGAAAUGGAACCUCCCCCAGGGCGCACCGAU